CCUGCCCCGUGAACUAAUUCAACGGCCGCGGUAUCUUGACCGUGCAAAGGUAGCAUAAUCAAUUGUUCUUUAAAUAAGGACUAGUAUGAACGGCAUCACGAGGGUUUAACUGUCUCCCUAUUUUAAUCAAUGAAAUUGAUCCCCCCGUGAAGAAGCGGGGAUAUAACUAUAAGACGAAAAGACCCCAUGGAGCUUUAAACUUAUUUUCAAUUACCAAAACCAAAACAUACACCCGGUAAAAAUGAUAAACGUUUUCGGUUGGGGCGACCCUGGAGAAAAACAAAUCCUCCAAGCUGAAUAAACUAAAAUUUAAUGUUAGAGCAACAACUCAAACAAUCAAAACCUUGACAAAAUGACCCAGAAUUCAUCUGAUCAACGAACCAAGUUACCCUGGGGAUAACAGCGCAAUCCAUUUCAAGAGCCCUUAUCGACAAAUGGGUUUACGACCUCGAUGUUGGAUCGGGGUAUCCUAGCAG
rnacentral:rRNA from 1 species